rnacentral:rRNA from 1 species
CCUACGGGGGGCUGCAGUAGGGAAUAUUGCUCAAUGGGGGAAACCCUGAAGCAGCAACGCCGCGUGGAUGAUGAAUGUUUUAGGUUUGUAAACUCCUUUUGUUAGAGAAGAUUAUGACGGUAUCUAACGAAUAAGCACCGGCUAACUCCGUGCCAGCAGCCGCGGUACUACGGAGGGUGCAAGCGUUACUCGGAAUCACUGGGAGUAAAGAGUGCGUAGGCGGGGUAAUAAGUCAGAUGUGAAAUCCUGUAGCUUAACUACAGAACUGCAUUUGAAACUGUUACUCUGGAGGGUAGGAGAGGUAGGUGGAAUUCUUGGUGUAGCGGUGAAAUCCGUAGAGAUCAAGAGGAAUACUCAUUGCGAAGGCGACCUGCUGGAACAUUACUGACGUUGAGGCACGAAAGCGUGGGGAGCAAACAGGAUUAGAUACCCUUGUAGUC